rnacentral:rRNA from 1 species
UACAGAGGGGGCAAGCGUUGUUCGGAAUUACUGGGCGUAAAGGGCGCGUAGGCGGCCCGCUAAGUCGAACGUGAAAUCCCCGAGCUCAACUCGGGAACUGCGUCCGAUACUGGCGGGCUUGAAUCCGGGAGAGGGAUGCGGAAUUCCAGGUGUAGCGGUGAAAUGCGCAGAUAUCAGGAGGAACACCGGUGGCGAAGGCGGAUCUCUGGGCCUGUUCUGACGCUGAGGCGCGAAAGCUAGGGGAGCGAACAGG